rnacentral:rRNA from 1 species
UACGUAGGGUGCAAGCGUUGUCCGGAAUUAUUGGCGUAAAGAGCUCGUAGGCGGUUUGUCGCGUCUGCUGUGAAAACCUAAGGCUCAACCUUGGGCUUGCAGUGGGUACGGGCAGACUAGAGUGCGGUAGGGGUGACUGGAAUUCCUGGUGUAGCGGUGGAAUGCGCAGAUAUCAGGAGGAACACCGAUAGCGAAGGCAGCUUACUGGGCUGUAAACUG